UACGGAGGGUGCAAGCGUUAUCCGGAUUUACUGGGUUUAAAGGGUGUGUAGGCGGACUUUUAAGUCAGCGGUGAAAUCUCCGGGCUCAACCCGGAAACUGCCGUUGAUACUAUUGGUCUUGAAUGUUGUUGAGGUGGGCGGAACGGGUCAUGUAGCGGUGAAAUGCAUAGAUAUGACCCGGAACACCGAUUGCGUAGGCAGCCCACUAAGCAACGAUUGACGCUGAGGCACGAAAGCGUGGGGAUCAAACAGG
rnacentral:rRNA from 1 species